rnacentral:ncRNA from 1 species
AUAAAAGCAAAGAGAGGGAAAAGUAUUAUAGAGUACAGUUUCCAGAGAGAGAAUGUUACAAGUUGAGAACAUUCUUAAAUAUGCCUAUAAGAACAACUACCCUGGAGCUAUGACUUAGUAGCUAGGUUUAGUGAAAUGUCAUCGGCGAAGGUCGUUAAACAAUUGAGAAGAAUUGAAUUAUUUUAAUUCAAUUUGGGUGGAACCACGGAUAACAGCAUUCGUCCCAACA